rnacentral:rRNA from 1 species
UUCCGGUUGAUCCUGCCGGACCUGACUGCUAUCGGAUUGAUACUAAGCCAUGCGAGUCUUUGUAGUAAUACAAGGCAGACGGCUCAGUAACACGUAGUCAACCUACCCUAUGGACGAGAAUAAUCUCGGGAAACUGAGCAUAAUUCUUGAUAGAUCAUAAUGCCUGGAAUGGUUUAUGGUUAAAAUGAUUCGUCGCCAUAGGAUGGGACUGCGGCCUAUCAGCUUGUUGGUGAGGUAAUGGCCCACCAAGGCGAUUACAGGUACGGGCUCUGAGAGGAGAAGCCCGGAGAUGGGUACUGAGACACGGACCCAGGCCCUAUGGGGCGCAGCAGGCGAGAAAACUUUGCAAUGUGCGAAAGCACGACAAGGUUAAUCCGAGUGAUUUCUGCUAAAGGAAUCUUUUGCCAGUUCUAAAAAUACUAGUGAAUAAGGGGUGGGCAAGUUCUGGUGUCAGCCGCCGCGGUAAAACCAGCACCUCAAGUGGUCAGGAGGAUUAUUGGGCCUAAAGCAUCCGUAGCCUGCUCUGUAAGUUUUCGGUUAAAUCUAUAUGCUCAACAUAUAGGCUGCCGAAAAUACUGCAGUGCUAGGAAGUGGGAGAGGUAGACGGUACUUGAUAGGAAGGGGUAAAAUCCUUUGAUCUAUCGAUGACCACCUGUGGCGAAGGCGGUCUACCAGAACACGUUCGACGGUGAGGGAUGAAAGCUGGGGGAGCAAACCGGAUUAGAUACCCGGGUAGUCCCAGCUGUAAACGAUGCAGACUCGAUGAUGCAUUGGCAUAUAGCCAGUGCAGUGUCGCAGGGAAGCCGUUAAGUCUGCCGCCUGGGAAGUACGUACGCAAGUAUGAAACUUAAAGGAAUUGGCGGGGGAGCACCACAAGGGGUGAAGCCUGCGGUUCAAUUGGAUUCAACGCCGGG